UACGUAGGUGGCAAGCGUUUGUCCGGAUUUAUUGGGUUUAAAGGGUGCGUAGGCGGCUUUGUAAGUCAGUGGUGAAAUAUGGCAGCUCAACUGUCAAGGUGCCAUUGAUACUGCGGAGCUUGAGUACAGAUGAGGUAGGCGGAAUUGACGGUGUAGCGGUGAAAUGCUUAGUAUAUCGUCAAGAACACCUAUAGCGAAGGCAGCUUACUAGGCUGUAACUGACGCUGAGGCACGAAAGUGUGGGGAUCAAACAGG
rnacentral:rRNA from 1 species